rnacentral:rRNA from 1 species
GAAAGGCCAAUCAAACUCGGAGAUAGCUGGUUCUCCCCGAAAGCUAUUUAGGUAGCGCCUCGGACGAAUACUACUGGGGGUAGAGCACUGUUAAGGCUAGGGGGUCAUCCCGACUUACCAACCCUUUGCAAACUCCGAAUACCAGUAAGUACUAUCCGGGAGACACACGGCGGGUGCUAACGUCCGUCGUGGAGAGGGAAACAACCCAGACCGCCAGCUAAGGUCCCAAAGUUAUCGCUAAGUGGGAAACGAUGUGGGAAGGCUCAGACAGCCAGGAUGUUGGCUUAGAAGCAGCCAUCAUUUAAAGAAAGCGUAAUAGCUCACUGGUCGAGUCGGCCUGCGCGGAAGAUGUAACGGGGCUAAGCGAUACACCGAAGCUGCGGCAUCAACUCUUCGGAGUUGUUGGGUAGGGGAGCGUUCUGUAAGCCGUUGAAGGUGAACUGUAAGGUUUGCUGGAGGUAUCAGAAGUGCGAAUGCUGACAUGAGUAACGAUAAAGGGGGUGAAAAACCUCCUCGCCGGAAGACCAAGGGUUCCUGUCCAACGUUAAUCGGGGCAGGGUAAGUCGACCCCUAAGGCGAGGCCGAAAGGCGUAGUCGAUGGGAAACGGGUUAAUAUUCCCGUACUGCUUAUAACUGCGAUGGGGGGACGGAGAAGGCUAGGUGAGCUUGGCGACGGUUGUCCAAGUUCAAGUGCGUAGGUGGGUGUCUUAGGUAAAUCCGGGACGCUAUUAACACUGAGACACGAUGUCGAGUCACUACGGUGAUGAAGUCAUUGAUGCCAUGCUUCCGGGAAAAGCCUCUAAGCUUCAGGUUAUAAGGAAUCGUACCCCAAACCGACACAGGUGGUCGGGUAGAGAAUACCAAGGCGCUUGAGAGAACUCGGGUGAAGGAACUAGGCAAAAUGGUACCGUAACUUCGGGAGAAGGUACGCUGCCUCCGGUGAAGUCCCUCGCGGAUGGAGCUAGAGGCAGUCGCAGAUACCAGGUGGCUGCAACUGUUUAUUAAAAACAUAGCACUGUGCAAAAUCGAAAGAUGACGUAUACGGUGUGACGCCUGCCCGGUGCCGGAAGGUUAAUUGAUGGGGUUAUCUUCGGAGAAGCUCUUGAUCGAAGCCCCGGUAAACGGCGGCCGUAACUAUAACGGUCCUAAGGUAGCGAAAUUCCUUGUCGGGUAAGUUCCGACCUGCACGAAUGGCGUAAUGAUGGCCACGCUGUCUCCACCCGAGACUCAGUGAAAUUGAAAUCGCAGUGAAGAUGCUGUGUACCCGCGGCUAGACGGAAAGACCCCGUGAACCUUUACUACAGCUUGGCACUGAACAUUGACCCUACAUGUGUAGGAUAGGUGGGAGCCUUUGAAGCAUCGUCGCUAGAUGUGUGGAGGCAAUCUUGAAAUACCACCCUUGUAUGCUUGAUGUUCUAACGUUGGCCCCUUAUCGGGGUUGCGGACAGUGCCUGGUGGGUAGUUUGACUGGGGCGGUCUCCUCCCAAAGAGUAACGGAGGAGCACGAAGGUGGGCUAAUCACGGUCGGACAUCGUGAGGUUAGUGCAAUGGCAUAAGCCCGCUUGACUGCGAGAAUGACAAUUCGAGCAGGUACGAAAGUAGGUCAUAGUGAUCCGGUGGUUCUGAAUGGAAGGGCCAUCGCUCAACGGAUAAAAGGUACUCCGGGGAUAACAGGCUGAUACCGCCCAAGAGUUCAUAUCGACGGCGGUGUUUGGCACCUCGAUGUCGGCUCAUCACAUCCUGGGGCUGAAGUCGGUCCCAAGGGUAUGGCUGUUCGCCAUUUAAAGUGGUACGCGAGCUGGGUUUAGAACGUCGUGAGACAGUUCGGUCCCUAUCUGCCGUGGGCGUUGGAUGAUUGAGAGGGGCUGCUCCUAGUACGAGAGGACCGGAGUGGACGAACCUCUGGUGUUCGGGUUGUCACGCCAGUGGCAUUGCCCGGUAGCUAAGUUCGGAAUUGAUAAGCGCUGAAAGCAUCUAAGCGCGAAGCGAGCCUCGAGAUGAGUCAUCCCUGACACUAUAAGUGUCCUAAAGGGUUGUUGGAGACUACGACGUAGAUAGGCAGGGUGUGUAAGUGCUGCGAGGCAUUGAGCUAACCUGUACUAAUUGCCCGUGAGGCUUAACCAUACAACACCCAAGGGGUUUUAG